UACGAGGGGUGCAAGCGUUAUUCGGAAUUACUGGGCGUAAAGGGCGUGUAGGCGGCUUUGUAAGUCAUUUGUCAAAGACCAUUACAUAAUGAUGGGGAGGCAAGUGAAACUACGGAGCUCGAGGAUAGGAGAGAGAAGUGGAAUUCUUGGAGUAGCGGUAAAAUGCGUAGAUCUCAAGAGGAACACCGAUGGCGAAGGCAGCUUCUUGGCCUAUAUCUGACGCUGAGGCGCGAAAGCGUGGGGAGCAAACAGG
rnacentral:rRNA from 1 species